UACGAAGGGUGCAAGCGUUGCUCGGAAUUAUUGGGCGUAAAGCGCGUGUAGGCGGCUGACUAAGUCCGCUCUGAAAGCCCGGGGCUCAACCCCGGGAGGCGGGUGGAUACUGGUCAGCUCGAGUCCGGAAGAGGAGUGUGGAAUUCCUGGUGUAGCGGUGAAAUGCGCAGAUAUCAGGAGGAACACCGGUGGCGAAGGCGGGUCUCUGGGCCGAUACUGACGCUGAGGAGCGAAAGCAUGGGUAGCGAACAGG
rnacentral:rRNA from 1 species